UACGGAGGGGGCUAGCGUUGUUCGGAAUUACUGGGCGUAAAGCGCACGUAGGCGGCUUUGUAAGUUAGAGGUGAAAGCCCGGGGCUCAACUCCGGAAUUGCCUUUAAGACUGCAUCGCUAGAAUUGUGGAGAGGUAAGUGGAAUUCCGAGUGUAGAGGUGAAAUUCGUAGAUAUUCGGAAGAACACCAGUGGCGAAGGCGACUUACUGGACACAUAUUGACGCUGAGGUGCGAAAAGCGUGGGGAGCAAACGGGG
rnacentral:rRNA from 1 species